rnacentral:sRNA from 1 species
GCCGGGUGUGGUGGCUCACACCUGUAAUCCCAGCACUUUGGGAGGCUGAGGCGGGUGGAUCACCUGAGGUCAGGAGUGCGAGACCAGCCCGGCCAACAUGGUGAAACCCCAUCUCUACUAAAAAUACAAAAAUUAGCUGGGCACAGUGGCGGGCGCCUGUAAUCCCAGCACUUUGGGAGGCUGAGGCAGGGGGAUCACGAGGUCAGGAGUUCGAGACCAGCCUGGCCAACAUGGUGAAACCCCACCUCU